GAGGAAACAGUCUCCGGUACAAAGACAACGUGAAUGCAUUCAGUAGGCAGGAAUAUCAUAGGAGCUGGAGCUUCAGGUGCUGCCUAUGGAAUAUCUCUUGAGGUGAGGAGACAGGAAUGGGGGAAGAACAAUGAAUAACACCCACAUAGGCCUCAGAAUCCAGUGGGUCCCUCUUGAUCUCAGACCCUGAGCAUGUGUAUUGGUGGCAGCUGGCAGGGGAAUGAACAGGACAGAGCAGAUGUGGCAACAGCUGGAUUUUCCAUCAGGAAGAUGAUCCCAGGAAGCAUCAAAUUCAUGAAAAAAAAGCUGUGUUUUUGUUCAAAGAUAUGGAGCAGAUGCAGAUUGGGGAAGACAGGAGUUUAAGCAUUUGCAUCUCUUAUGGUGAUGGUACGACAGCAGCAGUUACAAGAAACAUCCAGAGGGCCUGGGAGAGCACACCCAAUGAAAAUAUCUCCUACCAUGAGAGACCGGAAUCAAGUUCUUUUCUUUCAGAAGCUGAAAAAUGUUGUGCUAUGUCUUCUGGCCCCUCCCUGGUUUCAGAUGGGAAGUCC